rnacentral:piRNA from 2 species
UGGAGGAGCCAAGAGUUCUACAUCUUGA